CAGGGGCAGAUGCCUCUGAUCAUCCUCUGUGUCAGCCACGGUUCACAGGUCUUCACCCUCCCGAGGUCUACUGUGAGAUUAAGCCACAGUCCACAUCUACAGAGUUAUUCUCCACUGCAGCAAUGGCAGCCCAGGCAAUGCCUCCUGCCCACAUCCCACAAGCCUCCUGAGCCUUCCGCAUACGUUACCGCUCACGUUCAUACCUCUGGACCUUUGCACACACUCUUUUCUCCUGGCAUGUUUCUGCAGGUUUAAAGCUUCCUCAUUCUUCCCAGCCCCAUCUCCAAAAUGCCUUUCCUCUUUUGGUAUCUCCGCAAUGACUUUUAAACUCUUUCUACCUUGGACUCUGCUUGACACAUAUGCCGUAAUCCCUCCUAUUUGAGGAUAUGCUCUUAGGGGCAGGGGCUCUAUUACACUUAUCUUUAUCUCUCAAAGGUUUUAUUAGCUGAUCACCCAGGAAAAUUAAACAAAACCAAGGUUGAGCUUCAGCCUGCAGCCAGAGGUUCCGCUUCUCUAUCUCAAAAUCGGAAUCAAAAUUUUCCUGACUCAGGUGGGCUAAGUUCCAAGCCUAUGCUCUCUUGCCCCAGGUACUCCCAACCAGAACACCACGGGAAAACGAAUCAUUAGGCUGGUCAAUAUUUCCAAUAACUCAUAUUUUACAUCAGAUAGAAUAAAGCCACUUUCUUCAGCCCAGCCAAACUCAACCACUGUUUACACCCAGAAGACCCGGUCUGAGCCUUAGGGGCACCCAACUGCCCUUUGGCCAUCAAGCCUUCCUUUUGUGGCAAGAAACACACAAGGGAACUCAAGACAUGAGAGGCUGAUUUCAUUCUGAGCUGGUAGUCUCAUUUCAGAUAAAACCAACUAAGCCUGGACAUACUACAUUCUCAGGACCAUGGGGCACAGCUGACAACCCUGCAACUCAGGAGACAGGAGAGUACAGUGCUGCUGACCCAGCCGGGAAACAGGAAUUUGGGUGGCAGCGCCACAACUCAUUGCCCCAUCACAAAGGUAGGCUUUGCUGAAUAUUGAGACAUUAUGGGUUAUUCAGGGUUUUAGUCAGUAGUCGGUAGUCUUCCAGAAUGGACAGGAGUACAAGAGCUCUGGGGGAGUUCCUGCUGUGGCUGAGAGGGUUAAGAAUCCAACUAGUGUCCAUGAGGAUUCAGGUUCGAUACCUAGCCUUGCUCAGUGGGUUAAGGAUCCAGCACUGCCCCAAGCAGCAGGGGAGGUCCCAGAUGUGGAUCAGAUCUGGUGUGGCUGUGGUGGUGGUCUAGGCUGGCAGCUGCAGCUCUAAUUCAGCUGAAGAAAAAAAAAAAAAAAGAGCCCUGGGCCCUAGAAAUAAAAGGUAUGGCUUGCAGUCUAUGCUUGUCCUAAUGAGUUCUGUGUCUUAAGCAAGUCCUUUUUGCUUGUCUGAGCCUCAAUGUUUGUAUAUCUAAAAUAUAUCACUUAAAAUGGAUUUUAAUCCCCAAUCCAGCAUACAUCCAAUUAACAGAGUUAUAAAUCAUUAACUUGAAAGUAGAGAAAAUAAAAAAUAUAAGGUUAACACUGGAAAAAAAUUAGGAUGCAGGGCCCCAUAGUUACUAAAGUCAAGCCACAAAUGUGGUUCUGUGCUUCCUGGCAGCCAAAGCGAAAAGAGAAAUAUGAUCAGUUCUAUCCACUCACCCACAAAGAAAAAUCAUGCCAGUUCCUUGGGAGAGGCAAAGCUUUUCCUGGCACUGAGUUCUGAAAGAAAUUUCUCCAAUUAACAGAGAAAGUGAAGUUGCAGCUUAAGUCUUCAACAAUAUACACACUCAUAAGAAAUGUAGUAGCACGUUAUAUAAAGCUAUUUUGGACAGCGUCCCUCCUUAAAAGCAAAGGGCAGGACACCCAAGUUCAGCUCAGUCAAAAUAAUUCUGGAGGGGCUAAGCUAACACUGCCAAAGUAUGAAGCUUUCAGUUGGCCCAGUUUAAUACAAGGAUAAAACUAAGACCAGGUAGACAACAUGUCCUUCCAAACAUUUCUAUAAAUAUUACAUCUUCCACAUGGAUGUUUAUUAAGAGUUGGGCAGCAGUUUGCAAUUAGAUUACUUCUAAAUUCCACUCCAAUUCUGAGAAAUCUAAGUAACAUUUUUGGGCUUCAUGUUUUUACCCUCCUUUAGAUUUGGUAGUUUCCCUCUUACUGCCCACUCCCAAAUCAAUGGAUGGGAAUUCCUGCCAGUGAGAGAGAGAGGGAAUCAACUAUUAAUAUUAGUGUUGCUAUUAAUAGCUAAUACCAAAGUGCAUAUGUGCCAGGCUCUGUGUCUGGGUUCCCAUGCAAUCUCUCAUCUAAUCCUCCCAUCAAUCCUGUGUAACAUUAACUAUUAUUAGUCCCACUUUACAAAUAAGGAACAGAGAUUUAAAGAAUUUAGCAAAUGGUCCAAGAUCACAGAGCCAAUUAUUCAGAUCCUUUUGGUUCCAAAGCCAAGGCUCUCAGCUCUUCGUAUAGUGCCUCCUAGUAUUAAGAAAAUGCAAUUACUGCUAGAAAUGCUUGUUUGUCUGGAGAACAGCAAGACCCAGAAUAAAGGUUAGUAGGGGAGGCAACAGUUACUAACAACAAUGAAAUGACAAUGGAGCUUUUAGAGAGUUUGGCACCUUUAAAAAGAAUGAAAGGAUGAAAAAUAGUGUGAAAAGCAGAAAUCCAGAAGAAACGAAUUCCAAGGGAAGAGAAAUUCCCAGGAAAGGGAAAACUCCUUUUCCUUUUGAAAAUAAAUUAUUAUUUCCUACUCUUAAAGACUCUACCCCUUGGCUCUCUCGGACAGUCAUUCAUUCAUUCAUUCCACCAACAAUUAGGUAUCUAUCCUGUGUGACUCCCUGCCAGGCGCUGUCAGCAGUGAGCAAGACAGAGCUUCCAAUCCAACCAUCAAGGAGACAACCAUUUCCAGCAUUAAAGUGCUUUGAAAAACACAAAAUUAAAGGGAUAAAGGGAGGAUGAGGGGCAGGGAGGCAGGGCUGUGUCAGACAACAGGUCAGGGAGGGGCUCUCUGAGGCCCAAGUGACAGAAGACAAGUAGAAAGGCACGAUGACAAAAACAAACCUUACAUGUUUUAGAAACCUCAGGAAGGCUAGUGCAACUGAAGCCGGACAGAAGCAGAGCAGACCAGGUGAGGACUGGUAGGAAGUGAGGUGGGAGAAACCAGGAGAGGGGGCCAGGUCCUGCAAGGACUUCAGGGAAAGGGGCUGGAUUAUUUCUGAAGGGCACCGGGAAGCCAGGAAAGUUGUAAACAUGGGAAUGGCAUAAUCCUAUUUACUUUUAAACCUGCCAGGGCUACAAUCACAGCUCCCAGGGUAGGUGCAGGUCCUUUAAGAUGCAAGUAUCUAUACACAGAAGUACCACAGACUUUUGUUAGGGAUAAUACCACUAAGCUUUCAACUCUUAAAAGAAUACCUUUAGCCUGUGGGCCCUGGCUUUCCAUCGCUGGAAAGGACACUUCUUUUGCCAGAGUUUUAUACCCCUUCGAGCUAAGGGAAUGGAGUUCUUGUCGUGGCUCAGGGGUAACGAACCCCAAGUACACAUAAGGACACGGGUUCAAUCCCUGGCCUCACUCAGCCGGUUAAGAAACCGACCUGGCUGCGAGCUGUGGUGCAGGUCACAGAUGCGGCUCUGAUCCCUCGUUGCUGUGGCUGGCAGCUAUAGCUCCGAUUCGACCCCUAGCCUGGGAACUUCCAUAUGCCUUGGGUGCAGUCCUUUAAAAAAAAGAAAAAAAGGCGAGCUAAGGGAAUGCAAUUGUCAGAGCAACUGGUGGUUUGGUGGACAGACCUUAGGGAAAUGCCAAGAUAAUUUACAAAAAUUUACAAAGAAAACUGACCCCAGAGCUCCAUUUGAAUCCUGCCUGACCUCUCUUCCCCCUGCUUUUCCUAUCCUAGGAUAUCCCAUCAUUCACCAUCCUUCUGUUGCCUUCUUUUUUUUGCAUAAGCUCACAACUAAAUGUUCUAAAUGUGAGCUGCUUGACCAAACUGAACAUUAUUAAUUUCAACUAUCCUACAGUUAGUGUUCCCAUAUAAGGCAUACCCCUGGCUAGAAGCACCACAGUUGAAUUUGAAUUUGGAUAAUGUUGAAUUCUUUUUGAAGCUAAAUUGCAGCUUUGAUAAAUUCAAGGAAACCUCUUUCACCAACAUGUUGGGGCACAGUUAACUAAGAGGGAAACAACAUGUGGAUGCAUCAGGUGUGUGUACGUUUAUGCUUGAAAGCAGCGACCGAGGGAACAGCAUCAGAAACUAGAUGACUAACAAAGUCCACCUGCACACAGGAGCGGAGCUGUUACAAAACAAAGAACCAGAGCGACGGUAAGUAAGGAGACUUGCACCUCUUCUUAUUAAACAACUGUUGACAGACAAGCCCCUGGGCAACCCCC
ensembl:lncRNA